CUACGGGUGGCAGCAGUGGGGAAUCUUGCGCAAUGGGCGAAAGCCUGACGCAGCCAUGCCGCGUGAAUGAUGAAGGUCUUAGGAUUGUAAAAUUCUUUCACCGGGGACGAUAAUGACGGUACCCGGAGAAGAAGCCCCGGCUAACUUCGUGCCAGCAGCCGCGGUAAUACGAAGGGGGCUAGCGUUGCUCGGAAUUACUGGGCGUAAAGGGAGCGUAGGCGGACAUUUAAGUCAGGGGUGAAAUCCCGGGGCUCAACCUCGGAAUUGCCUUUGAUACUGGGUGUCUUGAGUAUGAGAGAGGUGUGUGGAACUCCGAGUGUAGAGGUGAAAUUCGUCGAUAUUCGGAAGAACACCAGUGGCGAAGGCGACCCACUGGCUCAUUACUUACGCUGAGACUCGAAAGCGUGGGGAGCAAACAGGAUUAGAUACCCUAGUAGUC
rnacentral:rRNA from 1 species